CUUUUUGAAUUUGUUCCUUAUGAGAAAUUUUAGAUUGGUAAAUAUUAUUUAUUGAUUUAGCAGAAAAUUGUUUUUAUUAUUUUCACAUAUUAAAUAGGUUUUCUAAUAUUUGGAAUUAUGCUAUUGUAGAAAUAGAAGAAAGAAAAGUCCUACUCUAUUUAGGACAUAGUUGAAAGCUCUCAUUUUCCAAUUAUUUGAUAAGCAGUGUUGUUGAUAAGUGAAAACUAACCGAUUUGCGAUUUGUUAGUGCCCAUAAGGAAGGAAAAGUUUUCUACAAAAAAGAAAAAAAAUCGAUUUGCGAUCUUUGAACUGUGAACGUAUAUUGAAGCACAUUUUAAUAGACUAUUCUUAUUUACUGCCAAACGUUUAUGACUUUUUAAUAGUUCUGUUUUAAUCACUUAUUAAAAUUUUAUCUGAAAAUAAUUUUAAUGUAAUAGAUCCUAUAUUUCUUAUCAGAUAGUAAUAUUUUAUGUAUAUUUCUUUACAUUAAUUAUGAGAUUUAGGUCUAUAUUAUUUUUACGAAUUAAUUUUUUACAUUUACGUUCUUUAAUCGAAUUAAUAUGGCGGACCGAUGGACUAGUGAUAACGUAUUGGCAUUCCACGCUGGAGAACCCGGGUCCUGCAUCUCCAAAAAAGUUUUUUCUAGGUUCCGGGCUCGGCCCGGCGAUCUUCGUCCUUCAGCAACCGGCCCCCCUCCACGGGUAUAGGUGAGCCCGUGGGUGAAACUGGCCCUGCCCCUUAUUAAUCUCACUGAUUGAAGGGGCAUAAAAAUGCAAAAAAUAAAAAAUAAAUCCAAUUAAUAUUGCAAAUUUUAUUUUGUUUGAUUUUAUCAAUUAUCUUUUUAAAGUACACUAUUAUAUGCUAGAAUUCUUUUUCUAUAAAUAUUUAUUACAUAAUAUGCUUUUAUUUUUUAUGAAUAUUGUAUUUGAUGAAGUUUGACUCGAGUGAUCCAUACAUCACGAAACUUAAAGAAGAAACUGUACAUUGCAGCAUUAAUAUGACCAAUGAUUAGUGGGCUUUCAACAGCAAUGAAUUAAUAAAUAAUAUUUAUAAAAAAGCUCGGGAAUUCGAACUUUCUCGAGCUUUGCCUUAAUAUCAAUUUAUCAAGUUUCAAGUUUCUGAAAACAUCUGAGUUUCAGCAACUCUAAUCGGUAUUAAAAAAUAUUUUUCACGUUAAAGAUAACAUUUUGAAGAUGAUGACAUUUUGUGGUCGAGGAAAUAAAGUGAAAAAAAUGAAUAAUUCGUUUCAUUUCAUUCGCGAAAACUGAAUAUUAUAAAUAUACAGAUGAUCGAAAACUCUACCGCCAAACUUUAGGGGAUGAUAGAACCGGACAAGACAAAACCCCGUUCUAUUACCCUCUGAAUUUGGUAUUAGAGUUUUCGAUUAUCCUGUAUAUUUAUAGACUAAUAUUCAGAUAUAAAUAUCUUGUAUGUUAAAGAAAUACAGAAUAUUGAGUACAGUUCUUAUGAAAGAUGCUAAUAAAUAAAAUAAUAAAUAUGGAUUUCUAUAACUUCUGCAUACAGUAAGGCCCCGUUUAACGCGGAGGAUACGUUCCAAAAAACACCAAGAGUUAAAUGAAACAGCAUUAAACGAGGUCAUUUAAAUAUGUAAAUAAUGAAGAUAGGUAAAAUAGGACAGUGAAUAAAAAUAUACGUACCAUUUUUUUAUUUUGUAACAUAUUAUUACUAUUGUUUUACAUUAAAGAUUGAUACUAUUGUAGAC
rnacentral:lncRNA from 1 species